UAAGGGCGUACGGUGGAUGCCUUGGCGAUAUCAGCCGAAGAAGGACGCGGUAAGCUGCGAUAAGCUACGGAGAGGUGCAAGCAACCUGUGACCCGUAGAUAUCCGAAUGGGGGAACCCGGCAGUGGUUAUGCACUGUCACCCAUAGCUUAGACUAUGAGGAGGGCACCUGGGGAACUGAAACAUCUAAUUACCCAGAGGAACAGUAAUCAAACGAGAUUUUCUUAGUAGCGGCGAGCGAACGGGAAAGAGGCCAAACCGGAGCGGGCAACCGCACCGGGGUUGAGGACAGUCAUCAAGUGUAAAUGAGGUAGAAGAAUCGAGCUGGAAAGCUCAGCCGCAGAAGGUGAAAGCCCUGUAAUCGAAACCUUGCAUACAUGGGACUGUAUCCAGAGUACCACGAGACACGUGAAACCUUGUGGGAAGCAGGGGGGACCACCCUCCAAGCCAAAAUACUGAUAUCGACCGAUAGCGCAUAGUACCGUGAGGGAAAGGUGAAAAGAACCCCUGGCGGGGAGUGAAAGAGAACCUGAAACCGUAUGUCUACAAACAGUCGAAGUCUGUAUAUAUAUCAGGACGACGGCGUGCCUAUUGAAGAAUGAACCGACGAGUUACUGUUGCUAGCGAGGUUAAGUGGAAAACAUGGAGCCGCAGCGAAAGCGAGUCUGAACAGGGCGUUCAGUUAGUAAUAGUAGACCCGAAACCGUAGUGAUCUAUCCAUGGCCAGGUUGAAGCACAGGUAAAAUUGUGUGGAGGACCGAACUCGUGAGCGUUGAAAAGCUUUGGGAUGAGUUGUGGAUAGGGGUGAAAUGCCAAUCGAACACGGAGAUAGCUGGUUCUCCCCGAAAUAGCUUUAGGGCUAGCCUCGAGGUAGAGAGUAUAGGCGGUAGAGCACUGAUCGGGCUAGGGGCCAUACCGGUUACCGAACCUAGUCAAACUACGAAUGGCUAUACUUAUACUCGGGAGUCAGACAGUGAAUGAUAAGGUCCAUUGUCAAGAGGGAAACAGCCCAGAACACCGACUAAGGUCCCCAAUGUUACACUAAGUGGCGAAGGAUGUGGAAUUUCCAAAACAACCAGGAUGUUGGCUUAGAAGCAGCCACCAUUUAAAGAGUGCGUAAUAGCUCACUGGUCGAGAGACUCUGCGCCGAAAAUGUCCGGGGCUAAAGUGUAAAACCGAAGUCGUGUCAUAUGCAGCAAUGUAUAUGGGUAGGGGAGCGUUCUCAUCGGGCUGAAGCAGUACCGUAAGGAGUUGUGGACUGAUGAGAAGUGAGAAUGUCGGUAUGAGUAGCGAAAAGAAUGGUGAGAAUCCAUUCCACCGAAAGCCUAAGGGUUCCUGAGCAACGAUCGUCGUCUCAGGGUAAGUCGGGACCUAAGCCGAGGCGGAAAAGCGUAGGCGAUGGACAACAGGUUGAAAUUCCUGUACCGGUGUGAAUCGUUUGAUCGAUGGAGUGACACAGUAAGGUAGGUCAGCACGCGAUUGGAAGAGCGUGUUUAAGCAGGUAGGUUGAGCUAUAGGCAAAUCCGUAGCUCUAAAAGCUGAGAUGUGAUGACGAGUGACUAGCAAUAGUCGCGAAGUGAUUGAUCCUACACUGUCGAGAAAAGCUUCUAGGUAGAGACACAUCGCCCGUACCAAAACCGACACAGGUAGGCGGGGAGAGAAUCCUAAGGUGCGCGGGAAAACCCUCGUUAAGGAACUCGGCAAAAUGCCUCCGUAACUUCGGGAAAAGGAGGACUCAUGUAGUGUGAAGAGCAGAAGCGCUUGGAGCAUGAAUGAGUGGCACAAGAGAGGCGCAAGCGACUGUUUACCACAAACACAGGUGCCUGCUAAAGCGAAAGCUGAUGUAUAGGUGCUGACACCUGCCCGGUGCUGGAAGGUUAAGAGGAGGGGUUAGACUUUGGUCGAAGCUCUGAAUUGAAGCCCCAGUAAACGGCGGCCGUAACUAUAACGGUCCUAAGGUAGCGAAAUUCCUUGUCGGGU
rnacentral:rRNA from 1 species